AUGGACAAGGAGGAGCAAGAAGACCGCGCGACGUGGGUCCCCGGCGCCCUCAUCGUCGGCGCGGGCCCGUCGGGGCUGGCAGCCGCCGCGUGCCUCGCGGCUCGCGGCGUGCCGGCCACGGUGCUCGAGAGGUCCGACUCGCUGGCCUUUGCGUGGCGCCACCGCAUGUACGACCGCCUCGCGCUCCACCUGCCCAAGCGCUUCUGCGAGCUGCCGCUCCUCCCGUUCCCGGCCGAGUACCCGACCUACCCCUGCAAGGACCAGUUCGUGGCGUACAUGGAGGCGUACGCCGCCGCGGCGGGCGUGGCCCCUCGCUUCGGCGCCAGCGUCGAGGAGGCCGCGUUCGACGCGUCUGCGGGCGCCUGGGCGGUGCGCCUGGCGGGCGGCGAGGUGCUGAUGACCAAGUGGCUGGUCGUGGCGACGGGCGAGAACGCCGAGCCGCACGUCCCGGACUUCCCCGGCAUGCGGCAGUUCGCCGGGCGCGUCCUGCACACGUGCGAGUACAAGUGCGGCGAGGAGUUCGCCGGGGAAAAGGUGUUGGUGGUGGGGUGCGGGAACUCCGGCAUGGAGGUGAGCUUGGAUUUGUGCCGGCAUGGCGCUAAGCCCUCCAUGGUGGUGCGGAACACGGUCCAUGUGCUGCCAAAGGAGAUGUUGGGUGUGUCCACGUUUGGCAUUGCCAUGGCUUUGCUCAAAUGGCUGCCGGUCCAGCUGGUGGAUCGGUUCAUCCUGGCGGCGGCGCGCUUGACCCUGGGCAACACGAGCCAGCUCGGGCUUAGGCGGCCCAAGACGGGGCCCAUCGAGCUGAAGAACCUCACCGGCAGAACCCCCGUGCUGGACGUCGGGACUCUAGACCACAUCAAAUCAGGCAAAAUUAAGGUGGUAGGAGCAGUGAAGGAGGUGACGAGGCUCGGGGCCAGGCUCGCGGACGGCAAGGAGGAGCAGCAGUUCGACGCAAUAAUACUGGCGACGGGCUACAGGAGCAACGUGCCGUCCUGGCUCAAGGAUGGGGGUGAUGUCUUCACAACAGAAGGCACGCCCAAAACCCCUUUCCCUGACGGCUGGAAAGGGCGAAACGGGCUCUACACCGUCGGAUUCUCGCAGCGAGGGCUCCUCGGAACAUCAUCAGACGCCCUAUGCAUCGCCAGAGAUAUAUAUGGCCAAUGGAGGGAAAGAGAAAGAGAACGAGAAAGAGAUAAACCCACUAGCAAUGUGCACUAA
rnacentral:rRNA from 1 species